rnacentral:rRNA from 1 species
ACGAAGCUGGAUUCGCUAGUAAUCGCGCAUCAGCCAUGGCGCGGUGAAUACGUUCCCGGGCCUUGUACACACCGCCCGUCAAGCCAUGAAAGCCGGGGGCGCCUGAAGUCCGUGACCGCGAGGGUCGGCCUAGGGUGAAACCGGUGAUUGGGGCUAAGUCGUAACAAGGUAAC